UACGUAGGGCGCAAGCGUUAUCCGGAAUUAUUGGGCGUAAAGAGCUCGUAGGCGGUUUGUCGCGUCUGCCGUGAAAGUCGGGGGCUCAACCCUCGAAUGCCGGUGGAUACUGUCGGGCUAGAGUGCGGAAGAGGCGAGUGGAAUUCCUGGUGUAGCGGUGAAAUGCGCAGAUAUCAGGAGGAACACCAAUUGCGAAGGCAGCUCGCUGGGACGUAACUGACGCUGAGACGCGAAAGCGUGGGGAGCAAACAGG
rnacentral:rRNA from 1 species